UUGUUGUAUCCCGCAAAAAAAAAGUCUAUAUUGGCGUGACAAAUACUGGUAAGUUACUAUAUUCGUCUAGUUUUUGUUACCCACAAGAGAGUUCGAUGAUCCGAUGGGCUGAAGCUUCUAUGCGUUGGCUAGUACUGUAUAAUACUAAUGUUCUGCAAAGGAGACUGAAUGGCGUGAAGGAAGAGCUGCAGCAACUGCAUCUGUGAGACAAAAAUGAGGAAUGAGAAGUUGGGUUAACUUCUUCACAGGUAGGGGAAGCAAUAGAUCAAGUUCACUGGCCACCGGCUGGCAAUGGCUAAACCGUGUUUGCUUGCUUUUCUUGUCACUGAAGUUGAGACUUCAGUAGUGCUGGUAUUUACAGUUUAGCCCUAUGCUUGAUCCACCCUAUUGGCUCAGAACUGAAUUCAGCACUGCAAGUGCUUCAUAGGAUUAGGGCUGACACCGUGGCAGUAAUUGAUGCAGUAUGCUCUUGUUAUUGUGUUUCUAUCUCUUGUUAACUUUAUCGAUCCAACGAGUACUUGGAAGUUGGACGCGAGUGAGGCUGUGCCGUUCUGUUCCAGACUUUAGAUGUCGUGUCUUCAAAAUUUCAUCGUCUUUGUUUCAACUCCAUCAGCAAUCCGGUGGGAUGUCAGAGCCAAUUACCAAUUUCCCGCGACUUAGUUGUUGUGAAAAGUUUUGACUUGGGAGUUGUUGAAAGCCAUGCUUGUUCGCCGUGUCUUCUUAUCUUGGAUGAUAUAUGUCAAAAAGGGACUCAUAUCUGAGAUCUUUCUAGAAGAUUUAAUUUACAAAAUCUAUAGUUUUUGUAUACUCUUUGAUAGGGUGUAAACUCUCGGACGAGGAAAAUGAUCCAUGUGAAAGAAUCCACUAAGAGGCGGAGAAAAUUCGAGACAUAUGCAAGCACAACACUGGAAAGGACCUUGAGAGAGAGAAAACAAUACAAACAGGUCCCGUAGAACUUCACCAUGAGACCUUGUCAUCGCCCGACGCCUUCCUGGCUUCCUCCAUAGUCGAUGGAGUGCUCGUCAGAGGGGAAACCGAGCAUCCUUUACAUCAGGCAGGUGAGGAGGAUCUUCACUUGUCCGCUCUUGGAGGCCUCAAGAGUGGCUCAAAGGGUUUCUGCUUUGUGGAAUGCGGUAGCAGUACUCUAUCACCGCCCAAGAAACCAAAAAGAGCUAAGAGUUGUAGAUGCAGAAUACAAUAUUAGCCAGUAGUAUUGGUAGUUGGUGCAUCGACAACCAUUGAAGAAUAAAACAGUAGUUGUAGGAAUGGUACUAUGGUAUUGUGUAUUUCAGUUGUAGCAGAGCUUACAUUCCUCUUGAGAGGAAGACGUCCUUUGUACAUUCAUGGCUUAUAAUACUGAGUUUGUAAUUUUGGAUAUGCAAUGUUUCUGUCUUUUUUUUACGUA